rnacentral:rRNA from 1 species
GGACGGGUGAGUAACGCGUAGGAAUCUACCCAGUAGCGGGGGAUAGCCCGAGGAAACUCGGAUUAAUACCGCAUACGCCCUAAGGGGGAAAGGCCGGGAUCUUCGGACCGGUCGCUAUUGGAUGAGCCUGCGUAAGAUUAGCUUGUUGGUGGGGUAAAGGCCUACCAAGGCGACGAUCUUUAGCUGGUCUGAGAGGAUGAUCAGCCACACUGGGACUGAGACACGGCCCAGACUCC